UUUGUUUUUUCUUUUUUUUCUUUGAAGGCUCUCACUGGAUAUUGUUCUUCCAAAGAUUCAGAUGACUGGUUGGGUAAAAGUCCUUGAGCAAAAUUGUGUACUGUUUGUGCCAGAUGUGUGGAGGAAUUGAUUUGCUCACUGUAAGCAAAAUAGCUGCUCUUGGUCGAAGGACUGGUCUGUGUAGAACAGCAUAUUUCUUGCCAUGUUUCUCCUUCCAGCUCUUCCUCAAAACUCUUCCUGUGCUAUCCACUGACACCUUUCUAGUCCCCACUCAUCUGCUCGAAUCUCUAAAACAUGUGACUCAUGUUCCAUUUUUAUAUUCAUCUUCAUAUGACUCCUAAAUCUUUCUGUGUGCAUUUUUGUUUGUUUUCUCAUUGGGUUGUAAAUGAGCUGUUGUCACAUCUGGUUUCUUGGGUAGGACUUUGGGCUUUCAGUUACACACCGAGUAAUUCUUCCCUCCUUUUCUGGUUUA